UAAUCAUCUACUUGCGGUUUUCAGCAUUACAGGGAUAGCCCUGUAAUGCUGAACAUCAGGCAUGACGAUAUGUUGUGAUUGGUGGUGGGAGAAGCUGUCAUGGUGUGUUCAGACCCUGGGGAUCUCCCUUGAGCACCUACUGAGUGUGAUCUGCUCAGCCAUGGAGUUCUCAAUGGAUUUAAAGGGCUACAUGACCUUUGAAUGCUGCAUAAAUCUCAUUGGUCAGCCUUGGGCCUCUAAAUGUGGCCCUAGCUUCAGAGGGGAACGCCAUCGCUUGAUACCUGGGUCUCACUGGUGUUAUUUAACCCUGCUCACAGCAGGGAAUUAGCAAUAGGCAACAGCACAUCUGUUGAUCUGAGGCCACUAAAAAUAGCCCAAGGUGACAUAGAGGAGCUCCAAGUAUCUAUUUAUUACCUGGUUCUCCAGGUGCAAGCAGGGAUUCAACUUUGCAUUGUAAUAGUUCUGCAGCUCAUCUGUCAGUCUAGGGCCACUAAAAAUGGCCUCAGUUUACAGAGGGGAACCCCAGGUAUCAAGUGAUACUUCGGACUCCUUGAUGUAAGUGGAGAUUUAACCCUGCUUACACUUGAACGUGCAUGCACUUGUACAGUAUUUCUUAACGGGUGCUUAAGUGCAUAUGUGCAUGCACCAAGAAUCAAAGGGCGAUGAUGUCACUCUGGACACAAAUGGGCUGCAGAGGGGGUUAGUGGGCAAGGAACUAUGACUUCCAUAGAAAUCAUAAUUGCGUUUUAAGAAUGAGAAUUAUACUAUGGUAUUAGGAAACGGCGUAAUCCAUAAAAUUACCAAAAUGUUGAUGAGCAAUAGAUUUAAUGAAACAGGAAUUAGAGGUUUAGACAAUUCUCCAGCAUCCAGCUUGGGUGGUGUAAUUGCACUUAUGUACAUUGUAGAAUUGAAUGCAUAUUGUAUGUUUUAGACUUCAUCCAUUUACAUGCACACUCUCCCCAAGCAUAAGGAUAAUAAUCCCUGUUUAGGAAUUAUCCUGUAAUAACAGAUGGCAUGUAAUGCCAAAAUAAAGAUUACACAUGCCCAGUUACUAUAAUUCAGGGCUUGAGAGCCUGAAAUGAGAACUGCUAUCACCCAGAAUAUUGCUGUCUGCAAGACUGCCAUCCUGUAUAAAAAUUUUACAAGAAAAUUAAAGGUACCAUUUAAAUUACUGGCUUGGUGAUUGUUGCAAGUGCCACGAUCCCGAUUAGUUAGUUAAUUUGUUCUCAAUUUCAAGUCCAUGUGUAUAUGAGCAGCAAAUUAUAUUUAUAGUCCAUAUAACUGUAAAAAAUUUGACUGAGCCAGCUGUUGUUAAAAUGCUGCAUUGUACCCCCAGGAGCAGGCUUUAUUAUGAUGUGCCAGGCACUGUCUCCCAAUGAAAUCAUCAAGGGAUUACUUGUCAUAUGUGAUACUGCACCAGUCAGAUCUACAUUAUGAUUGACAGGAUGUUAGAUUGAAUUGAAAAUGAAAACCGGGAGAGGGAUUUCAGGAAGUAAAGUUUAUGAAGACGAAGUAAAGCAGCAUUGGUUAAAAAUAAUAAUAAUAAUAAUACAAAAAAAUUAUAUUUAUAUAAAGAGAGAGGAUCAUGGGUGAGGAGGGAGAAAGCACAUACAUUUAAAAGCCCACAGGAAAAUGUCAGGUGAAAAAUAUAGCUGUUUUUUCAAGCAACAUUGAAAUAGUUCUGCAUUCAUGAGAGUGGUGGAGUCAGUAUAGAGCAAUUAAAAUAUAUACAGUUGAAAAUAAAGCCUCUAGCUUUUCAGGUAACUGGGAAUUUAUGGACUUAAAGGGGAAUGCAAAGGCACUAUAACCACUGCAGCUCUCUAUGCUACCAAGAGUCCACUGCCACUAUCCAACAGUGAGUAGUCAAACUGUUUUUAAAAUGACUAUGCUCUUAUCUGGUUGCCUUGCUUUUGCUUAAGAUACUGUAUAUCAAUUUUGUCUGUAUUUGCCCAAGAUUAAUCAGCUCAGAGCAUCAGAUGACUCUGCCAUCUAAUGACAUUAAAGUUCCAUGGAAACACUGAAUUUAGGUUAUGAAAGGUUGCAAAAGUAUUAAUUUACACAUUGGAGAUAUAAAAAAUGGAGGCUGUACCGAACUUCUUACCGUGGAAUCACCUCUUGGCAUCAUAAACACUACAGCAGACUGUUUAAGGGGGCAUAGACUUAGGGGGUUAUAGUGCAAGGAGCUGUGGAAUAUACCUCCCAUGGCUACAGCUUAUUGUAGUGGCAAUGAUGCAAGGAGUCUGUCAACAACACACCAUAGUUUUUGUCAAAGCAUUUGAAUAGUUUUACAAAAUGAGACUAUCCGGGUGUCUUCACUGCUCUCAUACGGCACUCACUGUGGAAUUGAACUUACAAGUUUGUCCAGUCAGGCAGUCUCUGCUUGUUAUCGCAGCCUCUCCUUUAAAGCUGGAUGGCCUACUGCACGUUUUCAUAAGCCCAAUGUCUACCACGGGCCUUGCUGUAGGCACCGGGAGAAUCUCAGUGUUUGUCAAACUAUUCUAAAAUGAUUUGACACAAACUGGAGGGGACAGCACCCACUGACUCCACCAUAAACCAACAAUGAUCUUUAGUAGUUAUGGUGCUUAGGGUGUCCCUUGAAUGGAUUAUAAUAUAGCAAUAAUAAACAUGAACGUAAUGGGAGGGUAAUGCUCAUCCAAUGAAUGCUAUGUAAAUAUGGGUGAUAUUUCAAAUGUGAAAGUGGAACUUAGAUUGCCCCUUUAUGUCUGUUGCCAUCCAUUAACAUGUAUAUGAAAAUCUAAUAAACAGCCUUGGAACAACUUCACUGACCAUUCUUCAUACUAAUGUCGCUUUCUUGCAAAUGAAACAAUUAAUUGUAUUUUUUGCCCUGUCUCAAAUAUACUAAAUGCAAAAGUUUAAAUCCCUCAAGAAACAUUAGUGAUCUUACAAAGAUGUAUACUAAUAGCCAAGUUUGAAAGGAGAGCUAACAUUUCUUAAUUAUUUCCUACUGCGUAAAAGGUGUGUUCUAAUUGGUGAAGCUGGUUAUUAAGUAAUUAAAGUAUAGGUCCAGCAACAUUUUUCUUGGGAGGAAUUCCCAACCACAGUGCAGAUGCAUGAAAUUCAAUGCUCCUUAGAAUUACCCAGGAUGAAUUUCCUCUCAAGUACUCUCUAGUAGGUUGAUGAAUGACACCAUUAAACCAAAUCCCACAUUUAAUAAUCAUCUGUCCUUCAUAUAGAGAAUAAAACAAAAUAUAAACAAAUCAAAGAAUAACUCUCCCAGUUCAGAUGCAAACACGUAGGUAAUGCUUCCAUAUUACCAAUGCGUUUAGCUCUUUAUCACAACCUGAGUCAUUAUCUCCCUGGUGCAGCAAUGUCCCAAGGCCAAGACCCCACAGCUACCUCGCCACAUAAACCCCUUAAAGCCAUGUUCACAAAAAAAAAAAACACUUCCCUCAGAUUUCUCUACUCCUUAUCCAUAUGCAUAUAGUCAGACAUAUGAAGACAGGGAUUUGUAGACAAUAAGAGAAAAACAAUGAAGCAGAUUCAGAGAGACAGAGUAAGCCAGAGUGACUACAAUAUUUGCAGUGGUAGUAGCUCAUCUAUAGGUGCAUUUCACAGAGGCAUACCCCACCUUAUAACUAUUGCUAUAAUAAGAAGGAAAAAAAAAAUCUACAGGGAGUG